rnacentral:lncRNA from 1 species
AUCUUGUAAAGUCGGGUAACAUAGUGCAAUAUAUGUAGGAAGUGGGGAUCAACGAAGGUUGAUUCCAUAAUUAUUAGAUCAUGCAUGCAUCAUGUUUAAAAAUUAUACAAAUAAAUCUUCCAAUCUUAUGGAGAUAUGGCGCGCAUUAGGAAAACAGCGCGUAAAUCGACGGGACCUCAGGGGUGCCACGACAUCAGUUGGCCUCCCGGCAUGAAGGAAGUAGUAGUGGCAGUAAUGACUCGAUUGGAGACCUGGAAGCCGUGGUGGAGCAACUUCGGUCAGAACUACGCCACAGGAAUAGGACACGUGAGCUAGAGAGAGAAAAUUAAAUUUGGAAUAAAGGGUAGUCUCUGACAAGAUUCAAACUUGAGAUCUUUGACUCUAAUACCAUAUUAGAGUGGACACACUAAUCAGUUCAACCUAAAAGAUUAAACUAUUGAGAGAAGGUAGACAAUCCACUUAUACACUUCAACACCAUCUCAAUAUUACUGUGGUUGAUCUUCAUAAGUAAAUUUAUUUCCAAACACUUAAGAUAAAUUUAGAAAAAAAACAAUAACUUAUAGUGAAGCUAAAAUAAACUAUUGUCUCUAUUCCACGUAGAUAUCUAGCAAAAGCUAUACAUAUAUACACACUAAAAUGGAAUGAUUUAUUGAAUUUAGAACAGAUCGAGAAUAACUGAGGGAGCUGACACACUAUCAAGCAUCUGAUAUUUAUUGGUUGAAUCGCCCCAACAAGGAGAGCUUACCUGGUAAGGAUUUGAUUAGAUAAGCAGCGGCCAGCGGCAUUUACAUUAAUUAACAAAAACUUGCGUUCGACAAGUAUCUCCUGCAUGCGUAUCUAUCAACACCAAUCUGUACAAUGCGUCAGCCCGCACCCAUUGUGACGUGUGCUUUCGCUUAUGUUCUCUCUCCCUCGCUCUCUAGUCUAUUCUCUCUAUAUAUAAGAGGACACGCAUGGCUAUCUGCCUAUCUCACUAUAGUCGCAGCUCGCAGCAGUCGCGCGCCUCCUCCUACAGUUACUACCUUCCUCAGGUGAGACCGUGAGAGGGCGGAACUAGCAUGGCUGGUGUGCCUUCCGUCACCACAACCUUCCCCGUCCGGCGAGGUGAGCGGAAGCUCGUGUCCCCCUCGAGGCCGACGCCCUACGAGUUCAAGAUGCUCUCCGACAUCGACGACCAGGACGUGCUCCGCUUCUACCGUUCCGGCGCCUUCUUCUACCGGAGCAGCGCCUCCAAGGCGGGGCUUGACCCCGCGAAGGUGAUCCGGUCGGCGCUGUCGGAGGCGCUCGUGCACUUCUACCCGCUCGCCGGCCGGUUCCGCGAGCUCCGGCCCACGAGGAAGCUCGUGGUGGAGUGCACCGGCGAGGGGGUCGUGUUUGUGGAGGCCGACGCGGACGUCCGGAUGGAUGACCUCGGAGACUCCCUUGCGCCGCCCGUGCCGUGCUAUGACAAGCUGCUGUGCGAACCCGAGUCCCCCACAGCAGAUGUAAUCGAUCGUCCCCUGCUCUAUGUUCAGGUGACGCGACUGAGGUGUGGUGGCUUCGUCUUCGGCUCCCAGAUAUGCCACUGCAUAGCCGACGGAACCGGGAUUGUCCAGUUCCUGACCACGCUAACCGAGUUGGCACGGGGCGUGCCCGGCGCGCCUACCGUCCGCCCAGUGUGGGAGCGCGAGCUUUUCACGGCGAGCUGGCCGCAUGAGGUCAGCCACGACCACCUGGAGUACGCUCCGCUCCCGGAACGACCCGCGGCCGGCAAGGACCACAGGGUGAACCCCAGCGACGGCGACGACGUGUUCGACCACCACGCCUUCUUCUUCGGUCCGGCCGAGAUCGCGGCGAUCCGGUCGCAGGCGCCGCCCGCGCUGCGCUCUGCCGCCUCGCGGUUCGACCUCGUCGGCGCCUUCAUGUGGCGCUGCCGCGCCGCCGCGCUGCAGUUCUACCCCGACGACUCCGUCCGCCUCCACAUAUUCGUGGACGCCCGCGUCAGGAACCGGAGCCGCCGGCCUGUGCCCGCGGGCUACUACGGCAACGCGUUCGCGUUCGCGUCGGCGUCGGCCCCGGCCGGGGAGCUCUGCCGCAGGCCCUUCCGCUACGCGCUGCAGCUGCUGGCGGAGGCCAAGGCCCGGGCGUCGCGGGAAGGCUACGUGCAGUCGGUGGCCGGCUUCAACGCGGCGCGCAGGAGGCCGCCGUUCCCCAAGGCGCGGUCGUACCUCAUCUCCGACGUUACUAACGCGGGGCUGCUGGCGGUGGACUUCGGCUGGGGGAGGCCAGUGUACGGAGGGCCGGCCACCAUAAUGCUGGCCUCGUUCCACCAGGAGGGGAGAAACGAGGCCGGUGAGCCAGGAAUCCUCGUGCCGAUAAGGCUGCCGGCUUCAGCCAUGGAGAGGCUAAAGCAAAACGUCAGGAAGGAGCUGGCGGGCGCACACGUUGACGACGUAGAAACGGCUGCGGACGAGACAAACUCAAACAUGCAUGGGGGCGGUGUUUUGGCCAAACUCUAGUUGUUCAGCUGAUGUUUGAUGGGCGAAAGAGGCAAUUCAUGCAAAAUAUUACCUGUUAGACUACCCGUCUAGGGUUUAAUAGUGUUAGACUACCCGUCUAAGGUUUAGAACCUUCCUCAUAUAAUUACCAUCUCACCCUCGUUAUAAUGGGCCAGGCCUAAUUACUGAAGUUCUAUUAAUACCACACCCAACCCUGAUUAGGGUUAUGGGUUCUUCCUACAUGGUAUCAGAGCUAGGUUUAGUUUUUUCCUCCCAGCCGCCGGCCCCUCUCCUCUCCCUCCCAGCCACCGGCUCCGCCGCCGGUAGAUGAACAGGGUCUCUUCCUCCACCAGCGCCAGUACGCCAUCGACAUCCUAGAUCGGGCUGGCAUGUCUGACUGCAAGCCCUGCUCCACGCCUGUCGACACUCAAGCGAAGCUCUCUAAGGACGACGGGCCUCCUGUCGCCGACGCGACGUCCUACCGGAGCCUAACCGGCGCGCUUCAGUACCUCACUUUCUCUAGGCCCGACAUCGCCUACACCGUCCAGCAGGUGUGCCUGCAUAUGCACACUCCGCGGGAGCCCCAUCUCACCGCGCUCAAGUGGAUUCUGAGCUACCUCCGCAGCUCACUCGACUACGUCCUCCUACUCCAACCAUCCCCGACGUCGGAGCUCGUGGUCUACACCGACGCUGACUGGGCUGGCUGUCCCGACAUAUGUCUGUCCACCUCUGGUUACGCCGUGUUCCUGGGCGCCAACCUCGUCUCUUGGGCCGCCAAGCGGCAGCCCGUCGUCUCUUGCUUCAGCGCUGAGGCCGAGUAACGUGCCGUGGCCAACGGCGUGGUAAAGGCCUCCUGGCUGCGCCAGCUCCUCCACGAGCUCCACAGUCCCCUACAGCGCGCCACCCUCGUCUACUGUGACAACGUCAGUGCGGUCUACCUCUCCACCAACCCCAUGCAGCAUCAGCGCACGAAGCACGUGAAGAUCGACCUGCACUUUGUCCGCCAGCGUGUCGCUGCCGGUGACGUUUGGGUUCUCAGUGUCCCCACCAUGUUGCAGUUCGCCGACAUCUUCACCAAGGGGUUACCGUCGAGUGUAUUUUUAGACUUUCGAUCUAGUCUCAACAUCUGUACAGGAUAGAGUUGUGACUGCGGGGGGGGGGGGGGGGUGUUAGACUACCCGUCUAGGGUUUGGGGCCUUCCCCAUGUAAUUACCAUCUCACCCUCGUUGUAAUGGGCUAGGCCCAAUUACUCAAGUUCUAUUAAUACCACACCCAACCUUGAUUAGGGUUAUGGGCUCUUCCUACAUUACCCAUCAGAGGACGAAUAUCUUUUUUGAAAACUGUUCAUUUCAAACCUCAAAGUAUUCAAUAACAAUCACGCCAAGGCUUGUUCGGUUAGAAAUGAAUUGAGUGAAUUAGAGUAGGUUAAAUCCUUUGAUAUUCAAAAUUAAAUAAAAAAGGAUUUAAUCUUCUUUAAUCUCGUCAAUCCUACAGCAAUCAAACAAGGCAUAAUAAUUUACCUAAAUCAGCCCCUAACAUGCACCCACGGUCUAUCAGGCUGAUCCCCCGACCCAACCUCCCCAAGAAUAAAACAAAAAACAACUCGUUCUGCCACAGUAGAUUCAAGUUCAACCCAUCAGUAUUAGGUCGCAACCAAAUAAAGCCUUGUUCGAUUAUUUCUAUUACAUGUGGAUUAGAGUGGAUUGACAGGGAUUGAGAUGAAUUUUGGCUUGCUAUUGAUUUAAACCGACUCAAUCCUAUCCAAUCAACAUGGAAUGACGUCAAAACAAACUAGCCCUAAUCGGAGUAGCAGCGCUACAAGCUUGGGAUGGUAAUGGGGGUGGGUGACUGACCCGCCUUGGAGGGGAGGUGGUUGAGGAGAUGAGUAGUGGUGUUUAAGGUCUCUGCCCAAUAGGUGGCAAGAAGAGACACUUGAAAAAGAAGACAACGAAUCAUGUUAGUGGUGCAAAUAAUGUGUUUGGCCUGACUAUUGUCAGGGUAACUAUAGGGACACAAGAGUUGCAACUUAAUGUCAUGGGAGAGAAAGAAGGUAUGAGAGGCAGAGUUGUUGAAUUCGUUACCAUUGUCACACUGGUCACUGAAGGGCAUGGACCGAGCAACAGAAUAGGGUGGAGACAUAGGUGAAGAAGUGAGCGAGCGCCACGUGUAAAGGGCACACGCGACGCACGCAAACGACGUGUGACAACGCGUGCGAACAGUACGCGCGACACACGCAAACGACGUGUGACAACACACGAAUAACGCAUGAACCAGACGCAUGAACAACAUGACGAUGACGAGAGCCACACGUGCGAACGGCGCGCGACCCACGCGAAUAACGCGUGACGACACGCGACACUGUGCGAAACAGCAAGCGGACGGCACGCGAAACAACGUGCACGACAGCGCGUGACACGCGCGAAUCAACGCGACGACUAUGCGCGCGAACAACACGCGGACAGCGCGACGACGCGCGCGACACGCGAUAAUCGCUAACAAAUAACGUGUUUAUACUGAACAAGUAUUAAUUCAAAAAAGCAUUUAAGUUGACAUUAAUCACAUUAACUUUGUCGGCGUUUCGAGACCGGGGAGUCCCUAAGCCGAUGAGUGAAUGUCGCCGCGUGCCCAGCCCAGAUGGGUCGACGAGAGGCCGAGCGCGAAGGGGGGAAGUGAGGCGGCCGGAGACAGGCGUGAGAGAGGUGGGAAUCCCGCGGCCUUCGUGUUCGUCCCGCGCCCCGGUCGGGUGCGCUUGCAGUAGGGGGUUACAAGCGCCCACGUGGGAGAGGGAGCGAGCGGCUUCAAGCGAGCGCCUGUCUCGUCCUCGUCCCCGCGCGGCCAACCCUCUCUAAGAGGGCCCUUGUCCUUCCUUUUAUAGGCGUAAGGAGAGGAUCCAGGUGUACAAUGGGGGGUGUAGCAGAGUGCUACGUGUCUAGCGGAGGAGAGCUAGCACCCUAAGUACACGCCAUCGUGGCGGCCGGAGAGAUUUUGGCGCCCGGUUUGUGUGAUGUCGUGGCCGUCGGAGGAGCGCUGGAGCCUGGCGGAGGGACAGUUGUCGGGGCUGUCGAGUCCUUGCUGACAUCCUCUUGCUUCCGUAAGGGGGCCGAGAGCCGCCAUCGUCAGGGAGCGUGCGGGGCGCCAUCAUUGCCUAUCUGGCGGAGCGAGCCAAAUGAGACGCCGGUCUUGUUCCCCGUAGCCUGAGUCAGCUUGGAGUAGGGUAAUGAUGGCGCCUCCCGUUGACGUGGCCGGCCUGCGCCCUAGGUUGGGCGAUGUGGAGGCUCCUCCGAGGUCGAGGUCGAGUCCGUCUUCCAUGGCCGAGGUCGAGUCCGAGCCCCUAGGUCAGGCGAGGCGGAGGCCGUUGGCUGAGGCCAGAGCGGAGUUCGUCGUCUUCUGGGACUGAGCCCAAGUCCGAGCCCUGGGUCGGGCGGAACGGAGUUCGCCGUCUUCCGGGGCUUAGCCCGAGUCCGAGCCCUGGGUCGGGCGGAGAGGAGUUCGUCGUCUUCCGGGGCUUAGCCCGAGUCCGAGCCCUGGGUCGGGCGGAGCGGAGUUCGCCGUCUUCUGGGGCUUAGCCCGAGUCCGAGCCCUGGGUCGGGCGGAGCAGAGUUCGCCGUCUUCCGGGGCUUAGCCCGAGUCCGAGCCCUGGGUCGGGCACGGCGGAGUUUCGUAUGGUGUCUGCGGCCGGGCCUGACUGCCUGUCAGCCUCACUCUGUCAAGUGGCACCGUAGUCGGAGCGGCGCAGGCGGCGCUGUCUUUCUGUCAGACCGGUCAGUGGAGCGGCGAAGUGAUGGCGGUCACUUCGGCUCUGUCGGCUGAGCGGCGCGCAUCAGGAUAAAGGUGUCAGGCCACCUUUGCCUUAAAUGCUCCUGCGAUUUGGUCGGUCAGUGCGGCGAUUUGGUCAGGGUUGCUUCUUGGCGAAGACAGGGCCUCGGGCGAGCCGGAAAUAUGUUCGCUGCUGGAGGGGGGCCUCGGGCGAGGCGGAGAUCCUCCGGGGUCGGCUGCCCUUGUCCGAGGCUAGGCUCGGGCGAGGCGUGAUCGAGUCCCUCGAAUGGACUGAUCCCUGACUUAAUCGCACCCAUCAGGCCUUUGCAGCUUUAUGCUGAUGGGGGUUACCAGCUGAGAAUUAGGAGCCUUGAGGGAACCCCUAAUUAUGGUCCCCGACAGUAGCCCCCGAGCCUCGAAGGGAGUGUUAGCACUCGCUUGGAGGCUUUCGUCGCACUUUUUUGCAAGGGGACCAGCCUUUCUCGGUUGCGUUUUGUUCCGGUGGGUGCGCGCGAGCGCACCCGCCGGGUGUAGCCCCCGAGGCCUCGGUGGAGUGGUUUGACUCCUCCGAGGUCUUAAUGCCUCGCGCAAUGCUUCGACUGGUCUGGUCGUUCCCUCAUGCGAGCUGGUCGUAGCCCGGGUGUACGGUCGGGUCCCAAGUUCUCGGGCUGGUAUGUUGACGCUGUCAACGGUUUGGCCAGAGCCGGGUUCGUGAGAGCAGCCCCCGAGCCUCUGCACAGGGCGAGAGGGCGAUCAGGGACAGACUCGACUUUUUUACAUACGCCCCUGCGUCGCCUUUCCGCAAGGAGGAGGGGGGGAAAGUGCCAUGUUGCCCUUGGUGGGCGCCGAACAUGGUGUCUCCGGUGAGCUGCAGGCGGGUAAUCCGAGCGGACGUCUGUGCCCCAUUCGUUAGGGGUCGGCUAGAGGCCCAGAGGCGUGCCCAAAAGUACCUACGGGUGAUCUGCCGGACCCGGUCCCCUGGCGACGGGGUCCGAGGGCUCGAUGCCUCCCUCUGAUGGGAUUCCGUUACAAGAUCGUUCCCGCUGGUCUCGAAAAUGUCUUAGGGUACCUCGGGAGCGCAGCCCGAGCCUUGGUUAUGUAUCGAACAUACCCAUGGUCAUCCCUCGCUCUGUGUCUGAGGCGGCUGUGAACCCUUCGGGGGCCAGCCUUCGAACCCCUGAUCAGUAGUGGGCGCGGAGCCCGAGUAGCCUGAGGCGGCCGUUGAGCCCUUCCGAGGGGCCGGCCUUCGAACCCCUGACCAGUAGUGGGUGUGGAGCCCACGUGCUCUGAGGCGGCUGUUGAACCCUUCCGAGGGGCCAGCCUUCGAACCUCUAAUCAGUAGGGAGGCUCGGAGCCUGGUUCCUUCACGGGGAAGGAUCCUUUUUGGGGUAUCCCCCUUUCCCGGUCCCUGUUGCAAGAGAGAGAAAGAGGAAAAAAGGAAAAGGAUACGAAAUCGAACGACGCGGCGUACCUUUUUUGACGCGGUCAUUAUGGCGAAGGCGAAGCGUCGCUCGCUUCUCCUGCCAGAGGCGCCGCCUGUCCCGCCGCGGAGUUAAUGCGACGGGGCGAGUGGUUCGUGGGGCGGCCGUUGCGCAUGCGCGAGCCGUUCGAGGAACGGAACACGGGCGCGUCGUCUUCACGCCGUGAGAGAGGGUUCUCUCGUUGCCCCCGGAUGGGACGUAAGCUUGGCUGACGACGUGACCGCUGCUCCUACUCGCCUGCCACCGCCAUUACUGCCGUCCCAUUUUUGGCCGCAUUGACCGUCGCGCCAGGCUGGCGCUGCUGGGUCGUGCGUUGGGUCGCCUCGAGUCGCGGUAUUGGUUCCGCAGUCGAGGAGGCGCGGUGGUGGCGCAAGUGGCGGUGCAGUUGCAUGCACGAAGCAUUCGGCGCGCCGGUUGCAUGACGCGUGGGCCUGGGCCUCCAUGUUGGGCGUGUUGGGAGUCGGAGAAGUGCGCCCACUUGGUGUGGUUGCAUGCCGCCUGCAUGGCUGCCCGCCCUUUCGCCCGCUGGUCUGGGCAAAAGUGGAGAGCCGCUUGUAACCGCUGGGCGGUUGCACGCACCGCGCGCGGUGGUUUGGCUUCUUCUGCUCUGGGCCGGCUUGUAUGUCGUGUGGGACCCAGCCCUCGCGCCGUAGGGGAGGACCUUGGAGCGUGUUGGAGAAGACUCAGCCCACAACGGCUGGGGACGCAAGUAGGGAGAGUCGCCUUUAAAAGGAGGGUGACCCCCUUGGGAGGCGACCAUGUCUUCGCGCUCCCUUAUGCAUCAUGUCUUUCCACCUUCCAAGCCCCCGGAUGGGGAAUACCCGCCGUCUUUCCGCCUCGUCGUUGGAGGAACACAACUCCGUGGGAGUUGGUACCUUUCAGCCAUCGUUCGGCUUCAAGGAUUUUCAUCAUGCAGCCCGGCUGCACCCCUCCGCCGGCGGUCACCCGAGACGGUGACCACCAGCCCCUGGGUGGGGAGAAGCAAGCCGGGCUGCGAUCUUGGUCCCACCCUCAGCUUCAAGGAUGUUCAUCAUCCUCGCUGGGGUGGAGGCCGGGCUGUGCCGGAGCUCUACCUCCCGCGCGGGUUCGUGGGUCGACCUCUCCUUCGGUGUUCGAGGGAGAGGGCGCUCACUGGCCCUGUGGGCGGGUCGGACUUCAACAAUGCGGGGCUGGUCGACGGCGGGUGUCGUCAGCCUCAGCGCGUCGGGCUCGUCGGCUUAGCCCCCGGUGCCCCCUCCUGCCGGAAGGCGGCUGCCGCGCCGUGUGCACGGGAGGACCGCCCAAGAUGUCGCGCGCUGCCAGGGCGGCGUUCGUGUUCUGGGGUGGUCCUGCCUUUGCACCGGUACGGCGCCUCCACGCGGAGGUCGGCACCCCACUCGUCCGGGAGGAUCUGAGUGGGGAUCUGCCGGAGGGCUGACAGCCCCUGUCGUCGGUGCCGAGGUGGAGGCGGCUCGAGAAGUCCCCGUUACCGACGGGAUCACCGCCACCAUCCGCGCUUCGGGCCUUCGGCUCUUUGUACUUGUCCUCGCCCCUCGAGCGUCGGCGUGGGCGAGGGCAAGAUUGCAGCAGCAUCCGCCCUGAGGCCCUUGCUGCUGCAGUUCGGCCACCCAGAGCGGGGGUCGUUGUCGUUGCUGCCGGGGCGGACGACGGCGAGCCGCCCGUCGGUCUUCUGUUGCUCCGCAGCCCCCCCCCCCCCCGUCGAGUGGGGUUGUUCGUACCUGCGGAGGUGGAACCGGAGUUCCGUUUGUAAUGGCACUUCGAAUGCCAGUGUUUUUGUUCAUUGUGGCUGUCGAGGCCUGAACAUGUUAUGUAAUUUCGGCACGGAGCCGUGUUUUUUCCUCAUUUUCGAGCACUAAGACUCGCCUGUUGGUUGUCUAAACCGCUUCACCAAGCGUGAGUCGUCCCGUGUAAAGGUGACGAGUGAGGUAUCCGUAUCCCGGAGGUGUAGGAGUCCCUCGGCUCGGUCAGCCUUGUCGUCCGAGGCUUCCCUUGCUUAGUUAGAGGAAUCCCUAGGCCGCUCUUCGAUGAGCCGAGGCCAGGGGUAGCGGUGUCAGCGCGGACAGAGGCAGAGUUGGCUCGAAAAGAAGACCUGGUCAGCCGGAGCCCGGCCGGGUCGUCCGUUAGCGGGACUGACGCCGGAAUUGACCUGUCGAGGCCUUGGGUCGGGCUGAUGUCCUCGGAGGGUAGCUGGCCGAGGCCCCGGGGUGACCGGCCGAGCCGCCUGCUCGGGCCGGAUUCUCGGAGAAGACCCUGGCGGCGAUGGCCCGGGCUUGGUGAUGACGUUGUCCUUCAGUGCUGAGGCCCUUGGACCGCGUCGCCGUCCGAGGCUAGGUCAGGCCUCGCCGAAAGUGUUGUCGACGCCGAGGGUGCUGCCGCUCCCUUUAGCCGUCAAGAUCCGAGCCUGCAGGAUCGGAUUAUCUUGUAGCGUGUGUUUUCUGCGGCCGCCGAGGCCAACACACACCCUCGCCGUGUUGUAAAGCUGCGUCUCUUUUCCUCUUGUUUCGAGUAUCUGGACUUUUUUGUCGGUAACAUAAAUGUUUGUGCGAGCGAGAGUUGCUUCUCGCGGAAGGUGAUGAGUGAGGUAUCCGUAUCCCGGAGGCGUAGGAGUUCCUCGGCUCGGUCGGCCUUGCCGCUUACGCGCACUCUUACCCGUUCAUGGGGUUCUGUCACCGACGCAGUCGAGAAGGCUCGAAGAAUCGCUCUGGCAGAAGAGCUUCCGAACGUGAAGACUUGUUCGGUCCGCGGAAUCACUUAUCCGAACGUGAGUUACAUAUCGCAGAAGGUGAUGAGUGAGGUAUCCGUAUCCCGGAGGCGUAGGAGUCCCUCGGCUCGGUCAGCCUUGGCUGCUUACGUGUACUCCGUCGUUUUCAGGAUCCACUUUCGAAGUAGUCGAAAAUCACGAAAGACAUUCUGGCAGAAAGGAUCUUUUUUCGAGGAAAAAAUUCGACGCAGAGGGGGAUUCCCCCCUUUUAGCCCCCGAGGGAGGGUCGAGCUUUGCCGAGGCGAGGCCGACCCUUCCUUGACGACUAAACUUUGCGUGGGAGCGAGGUAUAUGAACAACUUGAAAACAUCUUAAGGGUAGAAGCGACGUAGCUGUUGGAUGUUCCAAGCGUUGUUGUAGACCUCGCCUUGACUGUUGGCCAGCUUGUACGUUCCGGGCUUCAGAACUUUGGCGAUGACGAACGGCCCCUCCCAGGGGGGGCGUGAGCUUGUGUCGACCUCGGGCGUCUUGCCGCAGCCGAAGCACCAGGUCGCCCACCUGGAGGUCUCGGGACCGGACCCCUCGGGCGUGGUAGCGUCGCAUGGACUGCUGGUACCGCGCCGAGUGUAGUAAGGCCUUGUCCCGAGCCUCUUCUAGCUGGUCCAGCGAGUCUUCUCGAUUAGCUUGGUUGCUUUGGUCGGUGUAGGCCCUCGUCCUCGAGGAACCAUAUUCUAAAUCUGUGGGCAAGAUGGCCUCGGCCCCAUAGACUAGAAAGAACGGCGUGAAGCCCGUGGCUCGGCUCGGCGUUGUCCUCAGGCUCCAGACCACCGAGGGGAGUUCCUUCAUCCAUCGCUUACCGAACUUGUUGAGGUCGUUGUAGAUCCGAGGCUUGAGUCCCUGUAGAAUCAUGCCGUUGGCACGCUCUACUUGCCCAUUUGACAUGGGGUGAGCCACGGUGGCCCAGUCCACCCGGAUGUGGUGAUCCUCGCAGAAGUCCAGGAACUUUCUGCCGGUGAACUGGGUGUCGUUGUCGGUGAUGAUGGAGUUCGGGACCCCGAAGCGGUGGAUGAUGUUGGUGAAGAACGCCACCGCCUGCUCGGACCUGAUGCUGUUUAGGGGUCGGACCUCGAUCCACUUGGAGAAUUUGUCGAUGGCGACCAACAGGUGCGUGUAGCCCCCGGGUGCCUUCUGCAAGGGGCCGACGAGGUCCAGACCCCACACAGCAAAAGGCCAGGUGAUGGGUAUCGUCUGCAGAGCCUGAGCGGGCAGAUGGGUCUGCCUUGCGUAGAACUGACACCCUUCGCAGGUGCGGACAAUUCUAGUAGUGUCGGCCACCGCCGUAGGCCAGUAGAAGCCUUGUCGGAAAGCAUUCCCGACAAGGGCUCGAGGCGUUGCGUGAUGGCCGCAAGCCCCCGAGUGUAUCUCUCGCAGGAGUUCCUGACCUUCGGCGAUGGAGACGCAUCGCUGGAGGAUGCCAGAGGGGCUGCGGUGGUAGAGCUCCUUCUCAUCUCCCAGCAAGACGAACGACUUGGCGCGCCGCGCCACCCGCCGAGCUUCGGCUCGGUCGGAGGGUAGCUCUCCUCGGUGGAGAUAUUGCAGGUAUGAGGUCUGCCAGUUUUGAUCAGGCGUGACCCCGCUUUGCUCCCCCUCGACGUGCAGCGUCUCGCCCUCGGGGGCCGAGGGUACCUCGGGUUGAACCGAGGGUGCCUCGGGCCGAGCCGAGGGUGCCUCGGACUGUGCCGAGGGUACCUCGGGCUCAGGCGUGUCGUCGAUCUUGACGGAGGGUUGAUGCAGAUCUCGGGAGAAGACGUCCGGGGGAACCGUUGUCCGCCCCGAGGCUAUUUUAGCCAGCUCGUCCGCAGUCUCGUUGUAGCGCCGAGCGAUGCGGUUGAGCUCGAGCCCGUAGAACUUGUCUUCCAGGCGCCGAACCUCAUCGCAGUAGGCCUCCAUCUUCGGGUCGCGGCAGUGGGAGUUCUUCAUGACUUGGUCGAUAAUGAGUUGCGAGUCACCGCGGGCAUCGAGGCGUCGGACCCCCUAGCUCGAUGGCGAUCCGCAAUCCGUUGACCAGAGCCUCGUACUCAGCCACAUUGUUGGAUGCCGGGAAAUGGAGGCGUAGCACGUAGCGUAGGUGCUUCCCGAGGGGCGAGAUGAAGAGUAGGCCUGCGCCGGCUCCUGUCUUCAUCAGCGACCCGUCGAAGAACAUGGUCCAGAGCUUCGGUUGGAUCGGAGCUGUUGGGAGCUGGGUGUCGACCCAUUCGGCCACGAAGUCUGCCAGGACCUGGGACUUGAUGGCCUUCCGAGGGGCGAACGAGAUUGUUUCGCCCAUGAUUUCCACCGCGCACUUUGCAAUCCUACCCGAGGCCUCUCGGCAAUGGAUGAUCUCCCCCAGGGGGAAGGAUGACACCACAAUUACCGGAUGAGACUCGAAGUAGUGUCGCAACUUCCGCCGUGUCAGGAUCACCGCAUACAGCAGCUUCUGAACUUGUGGGUAGCGGAUCUUGGUUUCGGACAGUACCUCGCUGACAAAGUAGACUGGCCUCUGAACGGGCAAUGCAUGCCCCUCUUCUUGCCUCUCGACCACAAUCGCGGCGCUAACCACCUGAGUGGUCGCGGCGACGUAGAUCAAGAGGGCUUCUCCGGCAGCUGGGGGCACCAAGAUAGGCGCAUUCGUGAGGAGCGCCUUCAGGUUCCCGAGGGCUUCCUCGGCCUCAAGGGUCCAAGUGAAACACUCGGCCUUCCUUAAGAGGCGGUACAGAGGUAGACCUCUUUCGCCGAGGCGUGAGAUGAAGCGGCUCAGAGCCGCGAGACAUCCCAUGACCCUCUGUACGCCUUUCAAGUCCUUGAUGGGCCCCAUGCUGGUGAUGGCUGCGAUCUUCUCCGGGUUGGCUUCGAUGCCUCGCUCGGAGACGAUGAACCCCAAGAGCAUGCCUCGGGGGCUACACCCCACCCCUCGGUGGUUGAUGGCUCCGGCAUUGCACGGAGGAGCAUUGAUGCUACAGCCAGGUUCUGGCCGACCCCACUGGAUGCGGGUGGUGGCCUGACCCUGACAUCGUCGGCGAUGCGGUGCUAGAAGCCCUGGGGUAGAUGACGUACUUCUCCGUCCGGAGGUUGGCCCGUCCAUGCCUGCCCGACGUCCCAGCGGAUUGGCUCAAGCGCUCCUGCUCCCUCGUCGAGCCUGGCCUGCACCCCGUGGAUUUGCUCGAGCUGUGGGUCAUGACCCCCCGCCGGAACGGGGACCACAGCUAGCUCCCGUGGGAUGUCAACGCGAGGCACCGGCCUAGGGAGAUCACCGUCCUCCGGCAUGCCGAGAUGGUUGCCUUCGGAGGGACCCCCUAGAUCGACGUGGAAACAUUCGUGGCUUGGGCCGCAGUCCUCGUCGCCGAGGCUGCGGCUACCGUCGGAACAGUCAGAAAGGCAGUAGUCGCAUGCGGUCAUAAAGUCCCGCAUGGCACCGGGGUUGCCAAGUCCGGAGAAAUCCCAACAGAAGCUGGGCUCGUCGUCUUCCUCGGACCCAUAGGGCCCGUAGGUCGAGACGUCUGUCAGCCGGUCCCAAGGUGACCGCAUACAAAACCCCAGAGGGUUCGGACUCGCCUCUACGAGAGCGUCCGCCAAAGCGAAGCCGCUAGGCGGGUCGAGGCUGAAUCCGAAAGGCGUGGGAUGGGAAUCGGUCGGUACCUCUUGGUCGACGGGCGGUGAUGAAGUCACAUUGGGGACUGACUGCACCGUCGUCUCAGGUACGAGGGUGACACCCAGCAAGCUUUUCGCGAGCGUGCUGGCGUCGUCCGUUUGCUCGGGAUUGGCGUGUCGCGGGGAGACAGCACUCGUCUUCGUCUCAAGCGCGAGGUCGAUGCCCGGCGCGCCCCCCGUUGGGGUGCUGGCGUUGUCGACUCGCUCGACAGCCGACGAGGCGCUGCCUCCUGCUUGGCCUUGGUUGCCCCGCCUCCUCCUUCGUCGGUGGGGAAGAGGACGGGGCGAGCUUGAAGGUUGUUCUUCCACCACGCGGGGAAGACGUCGUCGAUUCCGCCGUUGGCGGGCGGGCUAUCGGCCGCCAUUGUCGCUGUCGCACGGCGGUGGAAUGAGUAUCAUGUCGUAGCUGCCAUCGAGGGACAUGAACUCAAGGCUCCCGAAACGGAGCAUCGUCCUGGGCCAGAGAGGUUGCUGGAGACUGCCCAUCUGGAGCUUGACGGGAAGCUGUUCGUCAACACGCAGCAGCCCCCUACCUGAUGUGCCAACUGUCGGCGUUUCGAGACCGGGGGGUCCCUAAGCCGACGAGUGAAUGUCGCCGCGUGCCCCAGCCCAGAUGGGUCGACGUGAGGUCGAGCGCGAAGGGGGGAAGUGAGGCGGCCGGAGACAGGCGUGAGAGAGGUGGGAAUCCCGCGGCCUUCGUGUUCGUCCCGCGCCCCGGUCGGGUGCGCUUGUAGUAGGGGGUUAUAAGCGCCCACGCAGGAGAGGGAGCGAGCGGCUUCAAGCGAGCGCCUGUCUCGUCCUCGUCCCCGCGCGGCCAACCCUCUCUAAGAGGGCCCUGGUCCUUCCUUUUAUAGGCGUAAGGAGAGGAUCCAGGUGUACAAUGGGGGGUGUAGCAGAGUGCUACUUGUCUAGCGGAGGAGAGCUAGCGCCCUAAGUACACGCCAUCGUGGCGGCCGGAGAGAUUUUGGCGCCCGGUUUGUGUGAUGUCGUGGCCGUCGGAGGAGCGCUGGAGCCUGGCGGAGGGACAACUGUCGGGGCUGUCGAGUCCUUGCUGACGUCCUCUUGCUUCCGUAAGGGGGCCGAGAGCCGCCAUCGUCAGGGAGCGUGUGGGGCGCCAUCAUUGCCUAUCUGGCGGAGCGAGCCAGAUGGGACGCCGGUCUUGUUCCCCGUAGCCUGAGUCAGCUUGGAGUAGGGUAAUGAUGGCGCCUCCCGUUGACGUGGCCGGCCUGCGCCCUAGGUUGGGCGAUGUGGAGGCUCCUCCGAGGUCGAGGUCGAGUCCGUCUUCCGUGGCCGAGGUCGAGUCUGAGCCCCUAGGUCGGGCAAGGCGGAGGCCGUUGGCUGAGGCCAGAGCGGAGUUCGUCGUCUUCUGGGGCUGAGCCCAAGUCCGAGCCCUGGGUCGGGCGGAACGGAGUUCACCGUCUUCCGGGGCUUAGCCCGAGUCUGAGCCCUGGGUCGGGCGGAGAGGAGUUCGCCGUCUUCUGGGGCUUAGCCCGAGUCCGAGCCCUGGGUCGGGCGGAGCGGAGUUCGCCGUCUUCUGGGGCUUAGCCCGAGUCCGAGCCCUGGGUCGGGCGGAGAGGAGUUCGCCGUCUUCCGGGGCUUAGCCCGAGUCCGAGCCCUGGGUCGGGCGGAGCGGAGUUCGCCGUCUUCCGGGGCUUAGCCCGAGUCCGAGCCCUGGGUCAGGCGGAGCGGAGUUCGCCGUCUUCCGGGGCUUAGUCCGAGUCCGAGCCCUGGGUCGGGUGGGGCGGAGUUUCGUAUGGUGUCUGCGGCCGGGCCUGACUGCCUGUCAGCCUCACUCUGUCAAGUGGCACCGCAGUCGGAGCGGCGCAGGCGGCGCUGUCUUUCUGUCAGACCGGUCAGUGGAGCGGCGAAGUGACGACGGUCACUUCGACUCUGUCGGUUGAGGGGCGCGCAUGAGGAUAAAGGUGUCAGGCCACCUUUGCCUUAAAUGCUCCUGCGAUUUGGUCGGUCGGUGCGGCGAUUUGGUCAAGGUUGCUUCUUGGCGAAGACAGGGCCUCGAGCGAGCCGGAAAUAUGUUCGCCGCUGGAGGGGGGCCUCGGGCGAGGCGGAGAUCCUCCGGGGUCGGCUGCCCUUGUCCGAGGCUAGGCUCGGGCGAGGCGUGAUCGAGUCCCUCGAAUGGACUGAUCCCUGACUUAAUCGCACCCAUCAGGCCUUUACAGCUUUAUGCUGAUGGGGGUUACCAGCUGAGAAUUAGGAGCCUUGAGGGUACCCCUAAUUAUGGUCCCCGACAAACUUGUAUUUAUAAAAGCGUAAAUUGAAACUAUACAUGAGUUUUAUUAACUUUCUAUUUUAAUAACUUAUGCAUAGACAAAUAAUUAAAUAAUUAAUUAAAACAUGUGGCGCGACAAAAAAUGUUUUUAAUAUGCACAAAAUAUUAUUACAGAGUUAACGUAACUGAAAUAGACUAAAACGAAUGUUUAACGCAAAAUAUGUCAUCUAUUUAAUAAAUAGCAGAUUUAAAGCGAUAUGGUGGAUUUUUAUUGGUUCAAGUACGACCACGUAAAGGGCCACAGAGACCACGGGCGCACACGAUAAUGACGUGGGGCAGUUUUCAAUUGACUCUGGAGCCUAGACGAAUGUAAGAAAACUUGUGGUGUGUUUGGUUUGUGGAGUCACACAAUGUUUAAUGAGGUGAUGCACCAUAAGUUCAUUACAUUAAUUUUGGUGGAAUCAAACCACUGCUCAUAUAUAUACUAAUUAUUAGCUUAUAAGGAAUGGGGUGGUGAUGGAUCAACUCAUUCUAUUUUUCAAACCAAAUAAAAAUGUGAGGAGUGAGAAGAAGAUGGAUCACUUCAUUGCUCAAACCAAACACACCAUUGGAUGAAGACUGCAUGCACAUGCGGUAGAGACCUUGGCGGUUGUCAUUUCUUGGUUGCAUGCAUAUUGCAUGUUAUGCAUGGGGCGGAGCUCAUGCGUACGUUUAUUUCUUGAGUGCAUGUAAAGCACGCGCAAUGGCAGGCAGACAUAUGUGCGGUGGCUCACCGGCCGUGUGGAGGCAUGAGGAAGGAAAUGGAGCGCCGAUGGCGCGACCGCGCGACUGCGACUUGGAGGUACGGCUGCACGAGGGUGCGACAACAGGGGUGGGUGUUUGGGUUAUCUGAAAAAUUCGGGUCGAAUAAUUCGAAUAUUUUAAAUUUCGGGUUUUGAUAAUCGAUAUCCAAAAUUAUAACGGGUUUUACAAUAUUCGAAAAUUCGGAUACCCAAAUUUCGAUUUUGGGCUUGAGUAUUACCGAACUAUCCGAACUAUUAUGUUGGCUUCAUAAAAACACAUACACCCUAUUAAAUUAGUAUAAAAAUAUAGUUUGAAUAAUGAUAUACAUGGACAUAUAAAACAUAAGCAAUCUACAAUCACAAGUUAUACACAUUUACACAUAAUUAUAGAUGUACAAAUUAAUAAUUAAGCAUGACAUAAGUACAUGACAUGAAAGUUCGGAUAAUUCGGGUACCCAAUUGUGAUACACCGAAUUAUCCGAAAUAAAUUCGGGUUUUGUAAGUUGCUACCCGAAAUUUCCGAAAAAAUUCAUGUUUCAGGUUCGGGUUACGAAUUUUUUGCCCAGCGCUACGUGACAUGACUGCUCGCCGGAGCAAGUGCACAAGCCGGUGUCGCGCGUGUGGGCGUCAUGGGAAGAACUCAGAGCCUAGACGGACAGUUGUGAAAUCCAUGCGUCGUGGCCGGCUUUGAGGCUAUCCGCAAGCGUUACCCCUAAAUUUUUUCCCCUAUAUCACUUUUUUGGGUUACAUCAUCAAUAUUUCACCCCCUAUUUUUUAUCUCCCGCAGCGGUUCCCCCUAAAUACUCCCCUAUACCCCACUACAACUAUAAAAUAUCAUUUUCUAUAUGUACUACCAAUUUUUUAUCUACUAACAAUUACUCAUGGACCCAUAACACAGUGUUUGAGGGGAUGAACAGUGUGACACGCUAUAUCUAGAGGGAGAGAGAAGGAGGUCGACGCGUAGAGGUGUUGUAGGGGGCAGCGCUGCGGCCGUAGAGUGCCCCCUACAUGCGCCAUACAAGGAGAGGGGGAUGCCCAACGUUCACCGCUGCAGGUAGCCUGAGGGGAGCGGCGAAUUAAAGGAGAUGACGGUGUUAGAUGGAGCUCGCUGUGCCAUGAAACAGCUGGACAGGGAGAAACUAUUGGGUGGCCAACGAGUGGGCCCCGUGGCACAGCAGGCUACGUGCAGCGCGGCGCUGGCCGCUGGGCACCCCGUAGGCGCGCAUGCAUCUGCUGGUGGGUGAAUUUGCUUCUCUUUUAUAUAUACAUAAAAGCGUAUAGAUAUAUAUUUAUAUAUUUGAAUAUAUUUUAUCUUUAAUCUAAAUUUGAUAGUUUUUCCUUAUUCUAAACAAAAACACCGUCAUGACCAUUUUAGCAAACAAAAAUUAUGCUCUCGCAUGAGACGUAACAAUCAAAUUCCUAUAAGGUUUUAUUUUGCUGAACUUAACAUAUAUAAGACAAAAUAAUUCUCAACUAUUUAGUAAAAGAAAAGAAAAUCAAGGAAAAGAGAGUUUAACACCCUGAAUUUGGUGGAUAUCAGAGAAGAAAUUUUAUUCCCCUAAAUUCAGGGUGUUACACGAGUUCAUUGAAACCAGUCAUCUGUCCCAUGAAUUCAUACAAGCCGCUUGCCUGAAAUUUAGCAAGCAAGCCCUCCAUGACUGUCUGACCCUCCAUAUAAUCCCAGUCAAUCACCUGAUGCUUAUGAAACUUGGUGUCAUGAGAGUUCCAUAGAAAACAUCAAACUGCAGCUGAGUAUGAAAAUAUUGAAUAUUUAUGUCACAUGAAAGAGAAAACUGGUCAACAGUCCUUCUAGAGGAAUAUUCAGCCAUAGAAAACCUCAUCUUAGAUGAGUGUGUGGCGCAUCUUCAGCAUCCAAAGAGACACUGCCCCUAGCGGAUGAUUGGGACUCGGAAUCGGUGACAGGGUUAUAAUCUGUGUCAUCCGCACGACAACGCUUGGACAAAAAAAUGCCCUGCUAACUUCUUUUUCAGACCAACGAAACCACAGUAAUAAAAUAUAAAAUAAUCCCAACAAUCAGAAGACAAUAACUUGAAAACAUGUGCAAGAUGGAUAAGCUGAUCUGCUAGAAUGCGAACAGUCCACGCUAGAGGGACGAACGGUCCAUGCACCCACGACCGGAUGGUGCGCGCCACCUAGGAGGAAGGUCCGCGACCGUCCAGGACGACUUUUGAAACCCAAGACGCCCAAUUCAUGGAGUCACAAAAUUGACAAAGGUAUCCAUCAAAACCCAUUCAAAUUUUUGCACCAUAUUCUCAGUAAGUAACACAAGCAAUUCCACCAAUCAAAUCCAUAAUUUCACUGCCCAAUUUCAGAUCAGAGAAGAAAUCCUAGAAAUUCCCAAACUUGAGUAAAUUGAAUAAAUUUUGUGGGAUUUUGAAAUACCGAGAUGAAGACAUGUCGAUUGAAUCUCAGGAGAUCUCCCGAACAGUCCAUGCGCAAUUUCGAUCCACCAUCCGCUCAAAAACGACAAGAUUCACUUUUAGCUUGUGGAGUAUGAGAGAGGAAGGACAAGCUGGAGAGAAUGACCCCCUUUUCUGCCUCUGCCUGAGAUAGUUGCCUGUCGCGGACGGUCCAUGAGGGGGCUCCGGACGGUCCACGUCCUGGAAACUUUGGACAAUCUGUCCUGUCG